CAAUGUGGUAAAGCUGUGCAGGUUCUUUAUGCUUAUGUCACCUAACUUGUUGAUGUUGUAAAGCCUUGACGGCCAUUUUCCUUCUGUUUUGCUUAUGUCUUGUUUGAACACAUCACAAAUAUCAGAUCCUGCAAAUUUGCAAUGAUUUUGGUGGUGCCCUCAGGGUGCAUUUUACAAAGCUGUUAACCCAACAAGGAUCGAGGAGGGCCUUCACAGUAUACAAGAACAAAUGUUUCAUAUUUCCUUACGCACACUUUGUAGUUAAAUGUUAGAAGGGAAUACAGAAGGGCAUUUUUUUUCUCCUUUUGUAGCUAUCGUCAAUUUAUCAAUGAUGUAUUUCUUCUUCAGUUUGUGUCAAGGUGGUCCACCUCCAACAUUUCUAAGAGACGAUUGUUGGCAAUAAACCGUUGAUGAAUCCAAGUGGAUGAACCGCUCUGUAUGAGAUCAAAAUGGCACCGAGUCUUCUAAUGGAGAUGCAUGUGAUGGUCAUUCUAAUCUGCGGCGACAGUCAAUCUGCAGGGGAGGGCCGGCGGCAGCAGUCGAUCUGGAGUGCAGCGCAGGCAGUGAGAGGCAUGGGGUUGGCAUGGAGGAAGAGGAGCGGCGCUGCUGCGAAAAAGGAGGAACGGGGAAGAGGAUAUGCUAACAGGAUAUGUGGUUGUUAUGGGCUGGCAGGCAUUCAUGUUAUUAUUGGGGAUUUUGCAUUACAUCCAUUUUAAGGACUUUGAAAAAGGUCAGGACAACCCAGUUCGCUCACACACUUUGUCUCCACUCACGUUCAUCCCCAAUAUCAAUUUAGCCGAUAGCACAAAGACUAGCAAACAGUGCAAGUGCUAGAAUUUGACAAAACAAUCAAGCAACAAAAUAGAUUUAUAAUUUAUUUUGUAAAGCUCUAUUCAAGUUGUAUGGUACAAUUUAUCUUUUGCGUAAUUGAAUUUCAGGAUUUGUUUUAACAUAUCAAAGGUAGAACCUGAUAUUGAAAAGGGAAGAAGCAUGGACUCUGCAGUAUUUAGUGGUAGUAUAAGGCUUUUUUGAUCUGAAUAAUGUAUCACAUACUUAUAAACAUUGUUAGUUUAAUAUACCAUUAUAUGAAUGAAAAUUGUAGAGAGAGACA